GACAGGUAGAGUGGUCAGGCAGGUGGGCUCAGAGUCAGGACAGGUAGAGUGGUCAGGCAGGUGGGCUCAGAGUCAGGACAGGUAGAGUGGUCAGGCAGGUGGGCUCAGAGUCAGGACAGGUAGAGUGGUCAGGCAGGUGGGCUCAGAGUCAGGACAGGUAGAGUGGUCAGGCAGGUGGGCUCAGAGUCAGGACAGGUAGAGUGGUCAGGCAGGUGGGCUCAGAGUCAGGACAGGUAGAGUGGUCAGGCAGGUGGGCUCAGAGUCAGGACAGGUAGAGUGGUCAGGCAGGUGGGCUCAGAGUCAGGACAGGUAGAGUGGUCAGGCAGGUGGGCUCAGAGUCAGGACAGGUAGAGUGGUCAGGCAGGUGGGCUCAGAGUCAGGGCAGGUAGAGAGGUCAGGCAGGUAGAGUGGUCAGGCAGGUGGGCUCAGAGUCAGGACAGGUAGAGUGGUCAGGCAGGUGGGCUCAGAGUCAGGACAGGUAGAGUGGUCAGGCAGGUGGGCUCAGAGUCAGGGCAGGUAGAGUGGUCAGGCAGGUGGGCUCAGAGUCAGGACAGGUAGAGUGGUCAGGCAGGUGGGCUCAGAGUCAGGACAGGUAGAGUGGUCAGGCAGGUGGGCUCAGAGUCAGGACAGGUAGAGUGGUCAGGCAGGUGGGCUCAGAGUCAGGACAGGUAGAGUGGUCAGGCAGGUGGGCUCAGAGUCAGGACAGGCAGAGUGGUCAGGCAGGCAGAAUCAGGGUCAGGGGCAGGUAGAGUGGUCAGGCAGGUGGGCUCAGAGUCAGGACAGGUAGAGUGGUCAGGCAGGUGGGCUCAGAGUCAGGACAGGUAGAGUGGUCAGGCAGGUGGGCUCAGAGUCAGGACAGGUAGAGUGGUCAGGCAGGUGGGCUCAGAGUCAGGACAGGUAGAGUGGUCAGGCAGGUGGGCUCAGAGUCAGGACAGGUAGAGUGGUCAGGCAGGUGGGCUCAGAGUCAGUACAGGGAGAGUGGUCAGGCAGGUGGGCUCAGAGUCAGGACAGGCCAAAACCAGGAGGGUGAGAAAAAGAGAGACAAGAAAAGCAGGAGCUGAGAACAAAAACGCUGGUUGACUUGACAAAGCAAGAUGAACUGACAAUGGACAAACAGAGAACACAGGUAUAAAUACACAAGGGAUAAUGGUGAAGAUGGGCAACACCUGGAGAUGGGUGGAGACAAUCACAAGGACAGGUGAGACAGA